CCUACGGGAGGCAGCAGUGGGGAAUAUUGCACAAUGGGGGAAACCCUGAUGCAGCGACGCCGCGUGAGUGAAGAAGUAAUUCGUUAUGUAAAGCUCUAUCAGCAGGGAAGAAAAUGACGGUACCUGAGUAAGAAGCCCCGGCUAACUACGUGCCAGCAGACGCGGUAAUACGUAGGGGGCAAGCGUUAUCCGGAUUUACGGGGUGUAAAGGGAGCGUAGACGGCAGUGCAAGUCUGGAGUGACAGGCGGGGGCGCAACCCCCGGACUGCUCUGGAAAAGGUACGGCUGGAGUGCAGGAGAGGUAAGUGGAAUUCCUAGUGUAGCGGUGAAAUGCGUAGAUAUUAGGAGGAACACCAGUGGCGAAGGCGGCUUACUGGACUGUAACUGACGUUGAGGCUCGAAAGCGUGGGGAGCAAACAGGAUUAGAUACCCUUGUAGUC
rnacentral:rRNA from 1 species